AAAUGUUUAUUUUUAAGAUUGCGACGUCUAGAUGUUUCUCGCCAUUCGCUGUAGAAAGCGGGGGGAUUUUUUUUUUUUUUUUUUUUUUUCUCGUCAACAAAUCUACCUUGAUCUAUGAGAGGGCGAACAACCACAUCCUUCCUACAAACCGUGCCUGGGGCAGGCCCCUCGUCCCUGUUUUCCAGCCAGGUUUUGGAGAGCAGGGACAGCUGUGUUGUCCCUCGUAGGAGACUUUUGACUCGGAGAAACCCUCGAAUUUUCAUUCCUAGAUCAUUUUUGCUGAGCAGACAUUCCUCCCUGACGGGCGGGGGUUAUUUUGCCCUUGGUUUUAAAAGCUGUUUAAUGAUUUUACAGCUCAGGAAAACACUGGGAGUGGAGGAAACGGGAGAACAAUAUUUUUGGAGCCACCCAACAAAGCAGAAAUGGAAAACAGGGCCUUCCAAGACCUCCCCACCCCGAAUGAGGAAAGAGGAUGUGUUUUUGUUAGGAGUUGUCUCUGUUGUCCUUUGGAGCUUGUUUGUCCGUGUGUUCCUGGCACGCACCGUGCUUUUCUUUCUCUGCCAUCCUCUCCUUUCCCUGGAGUUAAUUCACACCUGUUAGCAUAAACCGAUAAACCAGCCAGAUAAACUGUAGGGCAUAAACUGUUCGCCUGCCAAGCUGCAGGACAAAUUUCCUUACUGGGAGAGAAUUUUUUCACAAUUAGGUACGUAAUGGAGGAACUGCACCUUUUUCCUGCCACCUCUGGUCCCGGCAAGCUCGCCCCAUUGUCUCUGGCUGCACACUAGGAAAAAAGGUGCCGGAUUAAGGAAGAAUUGUGGAUUUGUUCUAAUUCGGCAAAACGAGGCGCGGUCUCUUCCCAGCCUUGCCAGCUAUGGGGUAUUUGAUCCCAAAGACCCCGGCUUGGAUCCGCGCCCGGCGUUCCCUCAGGAGCCGUGUUUACGCUCUCCCUCUCCGGUUUCCUUCGGUGCCCGUCUUUCCAAGGAAGAUGCAUCCAGCCCACGGCUGCUCGCUCUUGGACAGUAAAACACAUUCCAGCAAUGUCAAAGGACGAUCGAGUCCUAAACCACGGCGCUUGCCAAAGACACCGUCCAAGGCACGUUCCACAGCCCCGAUCCUCUCCACAUUUUUCUUUAUCUGUCACUCAGCUUUUGCCCUUUGCUCUCCUGACCCCUAUCCGACUGGAAAUGCCUCCCCGGUCCUUCUGCAGCGGAACGAGCAGCUGUAAUUUCCUCAGGGCUGACUUGGUUCACAAGGUUUCCCACGCAGGCAGCACCCUGCACGAAGCAAGGGGUUUGGAAAUGCUGAGGAAUUUUAGCUUAUAAAAACUAAAGCUUUAAAACGUCACGUCUCCUUCGCAAAACAAGGGCAUCAGAAGAGAGGCCACUUGGAUUUCUGGGCAGAGACCAGCUCUUGGGGGGCUUCCUUGCUCCCACUAAGGAUUUAUUUUAAGGCAUUCACCCCCCUUUGGGCUCAUUUCCUACGGGGUUUGUUGGAGGAUCCCCCCCACCCCUCACUGGGAGCAAAGCUGCUGCCGAGGGUGGAUGGGGAGAGCAGCCAGAGCCUUGUCCCCUCCCGGCGUGCCCGGCCGGGGGCGAGGGACAGCGAGGAGAGCUGCAUGACUAACGUUACACGCCGGGGAUGACCGGGUUCAGAAGCAGCAGGGUUGGGCUGAGUGAGAAACCAGGCCCUGAGGUGACUCACUGAAAGCCAGGACUGCGGUCAGGGUCACGGAGAAGGAACUGGGUUAUCGGGAGGCACUACCCAUCGUUGCCUGGAGAAGCCACCCUCCUCUCGUGGCAGGCUGGCCUUUGUCCCCUCGACCAGACAACCGACUGCCACCCAUAAACUGCUGGGAGAGCCGCGACGGCUUGUGUCCCCACUGCCUGUGUUUCAUAGCACUGCGCGGGCUGUGGACUGUUUUGAAAUGCUUCGUGGCACCCGUAUCACGGAUCAGGAUCCCCUGUCCCCCUUCCCCAGCCUGGGGACUCGGAUCUUGGCUGGGCCGCGGGCGGCUUUGACCUUGACGAGGCGCAGCUCUGCCUUGAGAGAAAAAAUGUAAACAGCUGAGAGGAACUAUCUUGAAAGAAGGAAAAUAAGAAAGCAGGAAAAGAGGAUGUCAGUGACUCAAUCGGUGCGCGUGGACAAAAGAAAGUAGCAAAUCAGUGUAUUAGCUUAGGCGCGUGAACAGGGCACUAGAGCCAAUAGAAGAGCUGUAACCGGCGCGUGCAUGAUAA